AUUUGUUUCUUCUAAUUUUAGUUACCUGAGAAAUUAAUUAAUUGCCAAUCAUCGUUUUCUGUCAACAAGCUUAUUGAUGAAUAUCAUUUACCACAAUUGGAAAUUGAAUUUGGUUAAUUUAAUGUUUACACUUAAAGUGUAUUAAGUUUACUUGUGGGCUUAAUUGUUUGGGCUAUUGGGUUAGAAAGGGUUACAUUUGGGAUAAUCAUUUUUAGUGGGCAAUUAAUGGGGUUUGUGUUUGGGUUUACAUGUUAAGGGUUAUACAUUUUGAUUAUCAUCUUUAUUGACAUUGAUAGUUGUUGUUAACAAUUAAUGAGUGUAAUUCAUUGUUGAAUUUAUUAUUAUUAUCCAACAUGAUAAAAUUAAUAUCUAUUAUCUACAACAAUUAUAAUUAUAUUAAGCCUUUUGCCAAAGGCUUUACCCACCAAAAGGAUUUACACCAGACCAAUUAUUUGAAUGAUGAAUUGUGUUGCUUUUACUUUGCUAUAUUCACCGUUAGUUAACCUAAUUAACCAACCAAUUAAUUAACAUCAAGGUUAAUUUUAAGGUACCAACCAUAUGGAUACACAUACAAUUUAAAGACCUACGAAAUCCCAGGAUUUUGGAUUAGUCGAUCGGCUUAAUUGAGUUGGAUUGGAACUGAAUCAACGUUUUUUGAAUUCUUUUUAAGGUCAAAUUAUAUUGUUUACAAGUUCGCCAUCAAAUUUGGCAAUCAAUUCUCAUUCGGUAAUUUUACAAUCACGUAUUCAUGUAAUCACUUUAAAUACUUCGGUGAUUUUUAAGAUGGACAAACAUUUGGAAACUGUCCCAUGUUCAGUUUGACUGGUGAUCAUUUGGUUAAAUGUUGCAAAGAAUUACAAACUUUGGAUAAUCGUCAAGAGAGAUAAUUAAAUUGGCAUCUAAUCCAGAAAAGGAUAUGGACAAUAGAGUACAAAUUGAGACAAUCAAUUAAAUCCUAUGAUCAAUGGCCACAAAUAAUCAACUCUAAUCGUAUUUACAUUUCUUUCUCCUAUUGAAAAUUAGAUCCUGUUGUUCAUUAUCUUGAUUGAUGAGCUCAAUAUGUAACAAUUAACCAUUUGAGGCAACUAAUUGUUUGGAUGUUUAAUCGAGAUGAUCAACAAAAAGUUGAUCAAUUGUAACAAAAAAAACAAGGUAACAACUAAUUGAAUUCGAAUUUGUUUUUGUUCGGUCUCUUCAUCGAGUUCUAACUUCGAUUUCAUUCUCAAGAUCAGAAUCAGAAUGUGAGAGAAUGAUUGAAAUUGGGAAUUGAUCAUCUUCUCAAUUGGAAGAUAACUUUUUGCACUUUUUAAGUUAUUUUUUCGUUUUUUAAACAAUUAUGUCAAUCACCUGAUUGUUGUUAGUUGAUUGUUGUUGUAAUUUGAUUUAUACCCAAAAAUAAAUAGUUAGAAAAACUUUAUUGUAAUCAAAAGUUUUUCUAAAUUGUUGUGCCUACAAAUUACAAUAUAAUCAUCAUGAUGAUAAUUGUAAUGAUAAUAAUAAUCAAAUCCAAUUGGUGAUUUUUUUUUUAAAGAUUCCCGUUAAUCUUAAACAGAUUGACCUGAAACUUUUUCCUAUUAUUUAACUGGAACUAAAUUAAAAAUGAUUACCAAAACCAGAAAUAGAUGAUUGUUAACAAUUAAAGUUAAUUAAACUCAAUUGUAAUCAUAAACAACCACCAUUUACUUUUAAUUGUUAGUUAAUUGUUAUUGUUUGAUGGUUUGGGUUUGCAAAUAUAUGAUCAAGUUUUAAAAAAUGAAACAAUUUGUUUUGUUGAUUAAAUUGUUCAGUUUAAAUUGUCAAUCAUUACUAUCAAUCUACACACACACACAUACAAUCAGUCACAAUUUAAAUUAAUUGUGAUUAUUCAUCAUUAUUUAUUAAUACAACAAUCAGUCUGACAAUUUAUUGAUUGUUGACAACGAAAAAUUGAAUUUCAUUGAUGAACCAAAAUAGUAACAAUUAAUUGCAAGAAAACAAUUUAUUUUGACAAUCACUUUUAAUCUUAAUUGUUCCCAUUGUUAUGAUUAACUAAUCAAUCAUUAAUAACCAAUUGUCCAGCUGAUUGUAAUCAAUUUUAAAUCAACAACAGCAACAACAAUGGGUAAAGAUAAACAAAUUUAAUCACUAAUUGUGAUUAACUGAUUCACUUUAAAUUGCUUGGGCGUUUAUAAUAAUGAUGAAAUAUAUGUGAUCUUAAUUAUUCAUUUUGAUUGGAAAUAAUUAACUUUUCCCAAUCAUCAAUGUUAAUUAAAAUCGACGCAAGGAAACUAAAUUAAAGAUUAAAUUUAGUUCCUGGUGAGAAGCGAAAGUUAAUCAAUGAUUAACUUCACCCUUAAUCAGCAUAAUCAACAUUCACCGGUUCCGGUUAAUUAACUUAAUCAUAACAGUAUUGGAAACUCUGUCUGACAUUGACAAUUAGGUUAAUUGUUGCUCGUGAAUACCACAAUCAAUUUGGUUACAAUUAAGAUUCAAAUUCAAUUAACAAGUUAAUUUGAAUCUUUUUCAAUUUAAUUUUUCCUUUGCUUCAGUCAAAUGCAAAAAUAGUUAUUAACUCAAUGGAAUCAGUUAAUUGUGAUCAAGUUAAUGUGAUUAAUUAUCAAACAUCAUGAUUAAUCAACUCUUUUUUAUUAGCAAACAAUUAAAUGCUAAUGAUUAACUUUGAUAGUUGUGUAAACAUAAAUAAAUAAUCAUGUUAAUCAUGUUUGAAUCAUGAUCAUAGUGUUUUAAUUGUUUAAUCAAAUUGAUUGUUAUCUAGAUUAAAAUAAACGAAAUGGUAACAAUUAACUUUGUAUUGACCUCUUCCGGUCAACAAUUAGGAUCAUAAUUAAGUCUCAAGGAUUAAAUCAACAUCACGAAUUAAAAAGUUAAACAAUUAUAACAAUCAAGACAAUCAAGACAAUUUAAUCACCAUUUUGACACCCGUUGAGCUUGAACAAUUUAAAUUAAUGUUAAUCAUUAAAUCAAAUAAUUUAAUUUUGUUACAAUCAAACAGUUUAAUCAAUAAUAAUAAUUUAACAGUAAACUUUUUCAGAUUUAAUUGUAGUUAAAA